rnacentral:rRNA from 1 species
CCUACGGGUGGCAGCAGUGAGGAAUAUUGGUCAAUGGCCGGAAGGCUGAACCAGCCAAGUCGCGUGAGGGACGACUGCCCUAUGGGUUGUAAACCUCUGUUAUAAGGGAAGAAGAAAUGCUACGUGUAGCAUGAUGCCUGUACCUUAUGAAUAAGCAUCGGCUAACUCCGUGCCAGCAGCCGCGGUAAUACGGAGGAUGCGAGCGUUAUCCGGAUUUAUUGGGGUUAAAGGGUGCGUAGGCGGUUUUUUAAGUUAGUGGUUAAACGUCGGGGCUGCACCUUGAUUUGCCAUUCAUACUGUAAGCCUCGAGUUCAGACGAGGUAGGCGGCAUCCGUUCCGUAGCGGUGUACUGCUUAGCUCUCACG